UUGUUUUUUUUUUAUUUUUUUUUUAUUUUUUUCUUUUCUGCCUCUGUGUAGCCCUGGCUGUCCUGGAACUCACUUUGGAAACAAGGCUGACCUCAAACGCAGACAUCUGCCUGCCUCUGCCUCCCAAGUGCUGGGAUUAAAGCCAUGCGUCACCAUCUGGCUGUUCAGCUUAUCUUUCGAGAUACAGUUUUGCUAUUCAGUUCUGCUUGCCUAGAAUUCAGUAUCCAUAGCAGGCUGGUGCUGUGAUUAUAGGUGUGAACCAUCAUGCCUUACAGCAAACAUACUGUUUUAAAAGUUGGCUUGCCAGGCAGGGUCAAUAGUGAAUAGCAAAUGCAAUCUACCCUGAUUUUACAAAAAUUCAAAUCUCUUAGCCUCAGCCUAUGUAUUAGUCAGGGUUCUCUAGAGUCACAGAACUUACUGAAUGUCUCUAUACAGUAAGGGAAUUUAUUGUAAUGAGUUAUAGCCUGUAGCCCCAACUAACCCAACAAUGGUCAGCUGUGAAUGGGAAAUCCAAAAAUCUAGUAGUUGCUCAGACCCACAAGAAGGCUACUAGUUUCAGCUAGUCUUUGGUAUAAACUGGAGUCCUGAAAAAGUAGGCUCUAACAGAUGUGCUGGCCUUACUUUGUCCCAGGCUGGCCUUGAACUCAGAGAUCUGCUUGUCUCAGUCUCCUAGGAUUAAAGGCUACCUUACCUGGACCUAAGCUUUCCAUGGUCACUAUGCCUCAACUUGCAUGUCAGGGUCCAGUCGGAAGCCUGUAUUUUCCAGCCUCAAGAUCUGGAUCACAGGUGUACCCUCCUUUUCUGGAUUGGAGUUCAUUCCAAGCUGACAACCAGGAAUAGUCAUCACAGCCAGAAACUCACUACAUAGACCAGGCUUGCUUCACUUUCACAUGAUGCUGGAAUUAAAGGCAUGUGCCACCGUGCCCCCACAAGCGCGCUUUUAGUCCUGUUUACUGGUUUUUCCAUGGUGCCCCCACAUGGCAGUCUGUAGGGCUAAUCACCUGCCCACUCUCUGCCCCAGCAUCACCCCACUUUGAUGGGCAUCGGUGAUGAGUAUUACAGUUCCAUCAGCGUAGGUUUUAGCAGAGGACAACGUGUCCUACACUAUAUUUUCCGUAUUGCACAAUUUUUUGUUUUCUCUGAAGUUAAUAAUUUUCCUUUUUAGUUCUUUUAAAUGGGGUGUGUGUGUGUGUGUGUGUGUGUGUGUGUGUGUGUGUGGUGGUGGUUGUGGUGUGUGCCAUAGCUUACAAGGAGGUCAUACAGCAACCUGUACCUGUAGGAGUUAGUUUUUUUUUUUUUCUUCCCACCAUUUGGGCUCAAGGGGUUGAACUCAGAUUAUCAGGCUUGGUGGCAAGUCCCCCUUAACUGCUGAGCCACUCCCCAGCUCUGCUCCUUACUUUCUGUUUGCCAUUAAUUCAUCUGUGGGCUCCUCUCAAUAUUUAGGACCAAGCCCAACUGACUACCCUUCUCUUGCUGGAUCUCCACUGAGUGAGCCUGCUGCCUCUUCCUGUGUUGUGGUUCAGUCCUCAGUGUGGGCUGCCCUGCACCAGGAUCUGUCCGCAUGCCUCUCUCUCCUCUCCGGGACCCAUGCAUUCCUCUUCACUUACCCCCACUUGAAGCUUCCCAGAGAAGAAUGGAUGAGAAAUUAUGGAAUCUUUGCCUGUUUAUCCUUAUUCGAAUCUUAGACGUGUGAAACUGUGAGAAGUUUGUUUAGCUGAAAGCAUUCUCUCCUCAGGACUUAAGGGUGUCAUGUUACAUUCUUCUAGUUCCAGGAAUUGCCAUGCUUCGGAAUUCUGACCUUUUGUGUAAGAGCUCUUCUGUUUCUCCUCAUUCUUUCUUUGCCUAGUGUUUUGGAAAUUAUCAGUGACCUGCUACAG
rnacentral:lncRNA from 1 species